rnacentral:rRNA from 1 species
UACGUAGGUCCCGAGCGUUGUACGGAUUUAUUGGGCGUAAAGCGAGCGCAGGUGGUUUAUUAAGUCUGGCGUAAAAGGCAGUGGCUCAACCAUUGUAUGCAUUGGAAACUGGUAGACUUGAGUGCAGGAGAGGAGAGUGGAAUUCCAUGUGUAGCGGUGAAAUGCGUAGAUAUAUGGAGGAACACCGGUGGCGAAAGCGGCUCUCUGGCCUGUAACUGACACUGAGGCUCGAAAGCGUGGGGAGCAAACAGG